CCGGCCCGGCCCGGCCCGGCCCGCUCCCGGAGCCCCUACGGUCCCGUCGCGGCCGGCGGGCAGCCUGUGGGCGAGCCGGGCUUCGGAGGAGACGGCGGCUGUGUGAGGGACAUCCCGCCCCGCUGGUUCCCCCCGGUCUGGGUAGCGCUGCUGAGGCAGCGCCGGGGCUCAGCCCGCCAGGCCCUGCUCCCGGGAGGCUUCACCUUUCCCCUCUGGCAUCUCCACAGGAGCAAAGCUGAAAAAGCUGUGGUAACCUUUCCCCAGCCCGGCAUUCUCGCCGCCCCGCUGCCUGUGGAUGGCGGGAGCGCUGAGGUAAUCGUUCCCUGGCUGUGCAGUGAGCAGUUCACCUUGAAGAGGUGGAAAGCUGGAGAAGCCUGACAGCCGGUGCAGCUCAUUUUUUCAAAUGCCAGACAACGAUUUGGAAAUGCUAAAAUGACACAGCUCUCAGGAUGAUUUCGGUCUUCAGAAGAGCUGAUCUGGGAGAUGAGAUGUUUGUUCACAGACAACACGUGAGAGACAAAAGUAGAGAGUAUCUGAAAUUAUACUGGAAACUACAGCUGCCAUGGCAGAAGAUGUGGUCUUCUUGGAAGAUCCUCCCUGGUAGAAGACGAUCCUAACACUUCUCCCAUGAAAAGUCUUCAGCAACAUGUUUGAUGGCUUUAACCUGGAAAAAAUAUCCUCAUAAUUCUGCUCUUGUGGGUCAGUCAGAGACCGUAAAGGGAGUGUUUAUGAGCAUGCAGGCUCAUGUGCAACACAAGAGGCUGUGAAAUACCAACCAGUAGUUCUUGUACCUAAAAUUACUCAUGUUCUUCAGAAAGAGAUUCAGCUUUGUUUUGAAGAUCACGAGGAGCAAAGAAUUGUUUUCAGAAUUUAAUGCUUGACUUCUAAACAAGGGUUGACUCCUAGUUAGCAAAUUCCUUGAAGCUUCCUCAGGUGAUACCAAACUCUAGCAUUGGCUUCGAUUACAGCCACAUCAAAUAUUUGCGUUGGAACCUGACACCACAUGAACUUUGCUCAGCCUCAGGUUCCACUCUAAUGUUGGUGUUUAAUAAAUAUUCAUGAAAACCAUAAUUCCAGUUUUGAUCAACAUUGGUUUCCUAUAAAAGCCACUGAAACUUGUGAUUUAAACGUAAAAGCAGCAUAAUAAGGACUCUUUUGACUGAAUGCCUCCUUUGGACUUGGAAUAAAUGAAACUCAGGAUAUUUGUGGGUAUGAAGUUAAGAGGAAAAACGCAUGCAAAUCCUUAUGAAUCAAGAGAGAGGGAGUUUUGCACAGCUUGAGAGCUAAAUUCUUCUAUGAUAGGGGAGUGUCGCAUCCCAAAGCAAAAUUGAAUUUCAACCUGCUUGCUUGGAGGGUUGCGUUAACAACUGCGGAAGCCCAUUCAGUGCAGACACUUCCACGUGCCUUUCCAGCCAGCUGGAUGCUUGGUGGCCUGGCCAGAAGAUGGCAGGCGUGUUUUGUGGGAGGACGGAAAGUGUGCCAAGCAGACAGGUGUUCUGGCUGUAAGAAUAAAAUAAUUCACAGUCAAGACUGAAAACCUUAAUAUUAUUUUCCUUAUCCUGGUAAUGGUUGCACUGUAAGAUAACACAAGAUAAUAAAACCCGCAAUAGUUUACAGCUGCAUGUGUACAGGGGGAGGGAAGAAGGACUCGGGGAGACAAGCCCCUCUGAUCCCAUUGAUGUGGGACGUGCUCCCGAGUGACACAGCACAGUGCCAGCCCUGCGGUUAGUGCCUGGCAGUCUGAAAAAGCCACAGGAGAACCCCACAGAAUUAGGUUACAAAUAUUAACGCAGCAUCUCCUCCCAGCUCCAGGCUUUCUGACCCACUCUCACAACCGGCAAGAGAUGUCUUUUCUUGCCUUAUGAAAGUCUGGUGAAUCUGCUGUUAAUUCUUCGCUUGGCUCCGUUACUAUUUCCUUCUUUCCCUCCCUAACUUCUGCAUGACGACGCAAUUAAUUUAGCUCCUGCCUUACAGUCUGACACAUUCCCCUCUCAGCUGGCAGUCUGCCAAUUUCCGCAUCCUUUCCAGAACUGCAAGCACUCCUUUCACUUAGACGCAGAAUAGUUCGGCCUGGUGUUCCAGCCAUUGGUAACUGGAUAAAGGUCUCAGCUUAUCAGCCCAUUUUUGACUUGGCCAGAAGUGCAAAUUUAGGAAAGCAAAGUACUUAAUUCCCAGCGGGGGCUGAACAUUCAGUUUCUAUAAACUGAACAUUCAGUUUCUAUAAAGCUCCUGUUUACUGACCUGGCAUUCCCCAGUGUGGAAAUACUCUUGUGUUUGCAGAGAAGGCAUACAAAUUGAAGAAAUACAUGGACCACUUGGAGCAGAAUGCCAGGAUGCUCAUAGUGACUCUGAACUUCUGGGACAUCAUCCAUAGUUUUGGACCAGGAGUGCAAGAAGUCUAAGGAGCUGUACUGUGAUUGCAAGAUACUCCACUUUAGUAGAGAGCAGUGAUUUUCAUUUGUAGGCUUCAGCUGAUCUUUCAGAUAUCCUGGGCACAGGUCACUGGUCCCCCAGACAUCAGGACAGAGGUCUUGAACGUAAUUACAUUUUGUAAUGGACACUGGCACAGGGAGCAAAGCACAAGGUUGUGAAGAGAUGGGGUAGUUUUACAAAGAUGUUUGUCAAAGGUUUCAAAGCCAGACAUGUUGUACUGCUGUAAUCCGGCUAUGUCACAGAUGUAUGAAUAACUGAAGCCAAGUCAUUGUCCUCCAGGACAGAAUGAGCCUCCUGUGUCACAGGAGCUGGGAACAACAAUGCUGAGGUAGAUAUGUGAGAAGUUGCUACUUGUGAGGAAUCCAAGCAUCUUAAAUUAAGAAUUUGAUGGAUUGUGGAUGUGCAUUUUCAACAGGAGAGUCGAAGGAACAAAAUGUUUCCCAUUGCUGUGGAUGUUUUUGGGGGGUGGUGCUGUGGGCUCCAAUGUACAUUUCAGUUGUGACCUGCGCACACCCAGCCACAGCAAUGACUGUACGCGAUGGCACAGAGGUGCUCUCCGAGUCUGAGUGCUGUUUGAGCUGUUUGAGUACUGCCAACGCUUGCAUUGGCAUCAUCCGACCAGGUCACCCAGGGGCUCGCUCACUUACGGACCAGAGGGGGAACCCAUCCCCUGUAGAAAGUUUCAUCAUUGCUCAGGGUGGGCAGAGUCACUGCUGCUGCCCAGUCACUUUGCUAACAGUAGAGCUAAAGAGCAGGGAAGGAUUUUUGGGAAAGAGGGCUGAUAAAACCAAAAUGGAACAUAUCACAAAGAGGGAAAAGGUGUGGGGAUUUUUUAAACCAUGUAUUUUCAUUAUGGCUAAGACUUUUGUUAACCUGAUUUCCAUAUGCAUAUCCUGAGCAGCUAGGAUUCUUGUGAACAAGGAAGGAAAUAAAAGCUUUGGAUUUUUCAGUACUCGAAAGUGUAUGUGAAAAGGGUACAAGAAUGACAGAUUUCUUCCACUUAUUUGAAAAUACUGCAGCCUUACAAGAAGUUUCAAAUAUUCCUGCAAAGGAUGGUGUUAUACAUGAGGCUGAAGAAUAAGGUAUAACCCCCUCGUUCCUAUUGCUUCAUGUAAGAUAAGAUUUAUUUCUUUUAGUUAAAAGCACUACAGCCUUCAACCCAAAAGACAUCCAUGCACCAGUUGAUUUUUUGAGGAAAAAAUGUCCAGUGGUGAUCACAUUUUCUGCAUUAUCUCUGAGGGCAGUAAAAACAGAAGAUGACAUAAUGUGCAUAUAUAUAAUAUAAAGAAUUACUCAAUUAGUUAUAACAGAAAGCUUUCUAUCUACAAAGGCAGCUCAGCAUGAAGACGAGUUUCCUAGUGAGUUGUGGAAAUUCUGCCAGUGAUGUUUUUUAUAACAGCAGGGUAGAGAAAUAGCUAAAAAGAAUACUCUUGGUGCUUUUAACCCUAGUAUAGCAAGAGUAUGGAUAGGCAUUAUUAAUUUCAAACUAAUAAUAAACUUUGGGUAUUGAUAUUUCUGGUACUAGCAGAAGGUGAUGAACUGAAUCAAAAUUACUGAGAAUACUUAUUUUAAUAACUUGCAUCAGUGUAUUGACUGAACAUUCAUAAUUAACAUCUACACAGAAAAUGUUGGUGUGUUUCUAACAUUUGUAUUAUGCCACUAUGAUCUAUUCUAUUCUAUUCUAUUCUAUUCUAUUCUAUUCUAUUCUAUUCUAUUC